UUUAAUUGUAAUUUUAAGUAAAAAUUAGUAUUAGUAAUGUUCUUUAAAGUUAAAGAUUUUGGCGGUAUUUUAUCUUUUCAGAGGAAUCUGUUCUAUAAUUGAUAGUCCACGAUUAAUUAAACUUUAUUUAAAAAUUUGUAUAUCGUCGUAUAAAAUAUUUUUAAAGAAUGUAAUAUUUAGUUUAAAUAAAAAAAUAAAUCAGAUCAAGGUGCAGUUUAUAGUAAAGUAGAAAUGGAUUACAAUAUAAUUUAUAUUUGGAUUAUUUAUUUAAAAUAAAAAUGAAAUUGGAUUUGAAAGUAAUUAUAUAUAUA
rnacentral:rRNA from 1 species